rnacentral:rRNA from 1 species
GUGCCAGCCGCCGCGGUAAUACGGAGGGGGCUAGCGUUGUUCGGAAUUACUGGGCGUAAAGCGCGCGUAGGCGGGCUGUUAAGUCAGAGGUGAAAUCCCAGGGCUCAACCCUGGAACUGCCUUUGAUACUGGCAGCCUUGAGUUCGAGAGAGGUGAGUGGAAUUCCGCGUGUAGAGGUGAAAUUCGUAGAUAUUCGGAGGAACACCAGUGGCGAAGGCGGCUCCCUGGCUCGAUACUGACGCUGAGGUGCGAAAGCGUGGGGAGCAAACAGGAUUAGAAACCCCGGUAGUCC